GUAGGUGGCAAGCGUUGUCCGGAAUUAUCGGGCGUAAAGCGCGCGCAGGCGGUUCUUUAAGUCUGAUGUGAAAGCCCACGGGCUCAACCGUGGAGGGUCAUUGGAAACUGGAGAACUUGAGUACAGAAGAGGAAAGCGGAAUUCCACGUGUAGCGGUGAAAUGCGUAGAGAUGUGGAGGAACACCAGUGGCGAAGGCGGCUUUCUGGUCUGUAACUGACGCUGAGGCGCGAAAGCGUGGGGAGCAAACAGGAUUAGAUACCCUGGUAGUCCACGCCGUAAACGAUGAGUGCUAAGUGUUAGGGGGUUUCCGCCCCUUAGUGCUGCAGCUAACGCAUUAAGCACUCCGCCUGGGGAGUACGGCCGCAAGGCUG
rnacentral:rRNA from 1 species